AGCUUUGCGCAGUGGCAGUAUCAUAGCCAAUGAGGUUUAUCCAAGGCAUGAUUAUCGCUAAUUGAAUAUAGUUGACACAAUGUUACAUUAGUUUCAGGUGUACAACUUAGUGAUUUGACAAGUUUAUGCAUU
rnacentral:snRNA from 1 species